rnacentral:rRNA from 1 species
GCUUGUCUCAAAGAUUAAGCCAUGCAUGUCUAAGUGUAAAUACGUCUACACUGUGAAACUGCGAAUGGCUCAUUAAAUCAGUUAUCGUUUAUUUGAUGAUCUCUUGUUACAUGGAUAACCGUAGUAAUUCUAGAGCUAAUACAUGCGAAAAGACCCGACUUUGCGGAAGGGUUGCAUUUAUUAGAUACAAAACCAAUGCGGGGCAACCCGGUUGUUGGUGAUUCAUAAUAACUUUUGCGGAUCGCAUGGCCUUGAGCCGGCGACGAAUCAUUCAAAUUUCUGCCCUAUCAACUUUCGAUGGUACGGUAUUGGCCUACCAUGGUUACCACGGGUAACGGGGAAUUAGGGUUCGGUUCCGGAGAGGGGGCCUGAGAAAUGGCCACCACAUCCAAGGAAGGCAGCAGG